CCGCCACCUACUCUUCCAAAAACUACCAAGGCUGAGCUGCAGUCACCUGAGCUCGAAGCUAGAUUCUCUCUCCUACCUCAUUUUAAAAAAUCAUCGUAGUGAUCUCGUCCAUCUUGAUGGUGCUCUUCUUCUCUAGAAAAGCAUCAUCAAGGACUUAUACGAAGGGAGAAGCAAUGCUAACUAGACCAACGUCCUAGUCUUCUCCUCAACUUUCUCGUCAACACUG
rnacentral:lncRNA from 1 species